UUGGAGCAGGUUCAAGAUUUUGCAAAACGAGUUCUUCUAUUCCUAAAAGAAAUGCUUCCAGUUAAACUAGGAGAUCCUGGGGAGCUUUAGACCAUAUUAGAUGAGACAGAAGUUUUGCACUAAAUCUCAUGUUACAUUUAAUUACCUUAAUUUGUUAAAUUAUUGUUUUACAGAUGAAUGAUGUUGGUUGAGAAAUGACAAUUCUACAUCAGAAACUGUUUCAAGUUCUCCAUGUUGCAGGGGGUCAGUUUUUUGACGGAGGGGAAAUACAGCUUUAAUGAGAGCUGACUAAUCCCCAGGGCAUCAGACUUUCUGGAGUAACUGAUGAUGCAGAUCCAGGAGAUAUAUAGCCUGUGAGUACGUGCCUCAGAUUUGACUGCCCUUGCUACGAAAAAGUGUGAAAAACAGCAGAGAGCUGGAGGUGCUAGAUAGGGCUGAACACAACGCCAAACAGGUUAAAGUGAGAUGAGACCUACACAGAAAACAGCUUCGGAGGAGGAAUGU
rnacentral:lncRNA from 1 species